rnacentral:lncRNA from 1 species
CUUCGCACAGCUUCCUGUUUGGGACUAUGCGUACCGCUGCUUCCUGUGACUCCUAACUGCUCCUCUCCACGGGCUCCUGCAGUGUUGCUCCAUUUGAAAGCCGAGCAAAUGGAGGUUCAGAGUCACCUGCCAAGGGUUCCUGCCACAGUGGCUACAUCCACAGACGCAGAGACAUCUCACUGGAAGUGGAGGUUUCAGAGUAAAGAAGAACAGGUCAGCUGGGAGAGGCCACCUGGGGGACACAAAUGGCCUGUUCGCUGUUUCCACCACAGAGUCUACAAUAGAGCCUCAGACAGAGGGGCUUCCCUCUUUCUGUGCAGAGGUGGGGUCCAACUCAGCAGACUGUGGACACCGUGUCCAGAGAGCACAGAGGGCCCUGAGCCACCAUGUGGACAUAGAAGGCAGCAGGCCCUUGAAGAUGUGGUUUCAUCUAGACAGUACAACCAGUGGCCUCCAUUAUGCUCUGGGGGAGAUGCUCAAGGAGGGAGGAUUUGACUAGGUGACUGGGCAUGUGACUGGUCACUGGAGUUUGGGUGGACACGUGGCCUCUUUCAUAUCUAGAGUCAGGUGAGUCCCAGGGGACAGUUCUUCUAACUAUCCUAUAGUUCUAUAUUUCACAGUUGCUCGUUCAUUCGUUCAUUCAUUCAUUCAUAUGCCAGGACUGAAGACUCAGGAAUGGAUGAACUUGGACAUCAGAGAAGAAUCAACCAGCAAUGGGUGUAGAAUGUAAGCCCAGCUCAGGGGAGGGUAUCAAAGCCUGCAGGGGGCCAGGUGGGGUAGUGCAAGAUGUUUUAGAUGUGGGGGAAGAGGGAGGGGAAGGUAUGGCUGAGUGGCCGAACCACACAUUGUUUGGGAGUCCAUGUUCCAGGCC